UACAGAGGUCUCAAGCGUUGUUCGGAUUCAUUGGGCGUAAAGGGUGCGUAGGCGGCGCGGUAAGUCGGGGUGUGAAAUCUCGGAGCUUAACUCCGAAACUGCAUUCGAUACUGCCGUGCUUGAGGACUGGAGAGGAGACUGGAAUUUACGGUGUAGCGGUGAAAUGCGUAGAUAUCGUAAGGAAGACCAGUGGCGAAGGCGGGUCUCUGGACAGUUCCUGACGGCUGGAGGCACGAAGGUCAGGGGAGCAAACGGGG
rnacentral:rRNA from 1 species